GUGGGUGUAGUGUAUGGUACACGGUUGUCGCCAUUGGGCAGGGCGAAAAAUUGUUUGUAGGCAGCAGAACCAGGUUCGAUUCCUGGCACCCACA